AAAAAGAGAGUCAUAAACACGUCUCUCUCUCUUUCUUUCUCUCUCAAAUCUCACUCUGAAUUUCUCUCUCUCCUCUUCUGAUUUCUCUCUCUCACAAAGGGGUGCAAAUAGGUUAUUAAGUUAAUAACCACAAAGUCCAGCCGCCAACAAACCUACUCUAAAAUCUUAAAUCCUCUACAGCUUUACAGAAGCUUUCAAGUAUCGGUUGAUCUGAAGAAGGAGAGAUCUAUGACUGAGAAACACGAGAGAUCGAGGUUUAAGAGAAGAAAAAACAUGAAGAAGAUGACUUUGAAUCAAACACAGUUUGUUCUUCAUCGAUUGUAGAUCUGCAGGAAUUCAUUAGGUGCAAACAAGACUCAUAACUCGAUCUAGUGGGGAUCUUGACAUUGAAUUGUUCAUACACAGAUCUGCUGAUUCACCAUGAAGGCAAAGUCAGUGGAGGAGGCGGAGGGCGAGAGCAGCGCGUGACCCCACGGCGAGAAAAAGGAGAGGUCAAGUUCGAAGAUGGAGGUGAAGCAGGUCGGGAUCAGGUGUUUGAUCAGACCGGCGCUCAGGGUGUUUGAUGUCUCUGAUUCAAAGAGAUUAACUAAUAACUACUAAAAAUAAAUGAAUUAUUAUAAAUUCAAAAUUAAUGGAAGAACUAAAAAUAAAUAUCUGAAUAUAUGAAUUAUUAUAAAAUGAUGAAUUACAUU